rnacentral:misc_RNA from 1 species
AACGCACAUUGCGCCCCCUGGCAUUCCGGGGGGCAUGCCUGUUCGAGCGUCAUUACACCAAUCAAGCCUGGCUUGGUAUUGGGCGACGGGGCCGUCACACGCCCCGCGCCCCGAAGACUCCCCCGGCGGGACGGACUGUAUCUCAGCGUUGUGCAAAGGUCGCUGGCGAUUUACGGGACGGCCGUGCCGUAAAACCCCCCUUUCUCAAAGGUUGACCUCGGAUCAGGUAGGGAUACCCGCUGAACUUAA